UGGGUGACCUGCCCUCAGCUCUGGGAUAAGCCCGAGAAAUUGGGUCUAAUACCGGAUAUGACCUUUCCUCGCAUGGGGUUUGGUGGAAAGUUUUUUCGGCUGGGAAUGGGCCCGCGGCCUAUCAGCUUGUUGGUGGGGUGAUGGCCUACCAAGGCGACGACGGGUAGCCGGCCUGAGAGGGCGACCGGCCACACUGGGACUGAGACACGGCCCAGACUCCGUACGGGA
rnacentral:rRNA from 1 species